rnacentral:sRNA from 1 species
CUUGUAUAAUGACAAGACAGAUCAGCGUUUGAAUAAAGCUUGUGUAGAAAGAGCCAUAGAUAAAAUAUGUCGCGACGGCGAACACCAGCAAGGCACACAUCAUGCUGAUGAAAACACGCGGGGCGUACAUAUCUUUCUCCUCCGCUAAGCAUUGUCCCUCUGUAGAGAAAUGCA